ACAUACGACCAUAGGUAGUGGAAAAUACGGGAUCCCGUCUGCUCUCCCAUAGUCAAGCCACUAAUCGGCAGAUCAGUAGUUGGGUCGGUGACGACCAGCGAAUCCCUGCUGUUGUAUGUU
rfam:Fusarium fujikuroi IMI 58289 draft genome, chromosome FFTJ_chr11